GGUUCGGGCUUUGGUUGGAUCCCAGGGAGAGGACUGGGGUUGGCUGUGGGAACACAGCCUGAAGGGACUAGUGAGCCACAGUUAGCCAGGAGGCAGUCUGGGAAAAUAUCUGGAGCUGCCAAAGAGGCAAGAGACUAUUUCUUCCCUCUUUGUUUCCUGGUGCGCGAGAAGAGGGGAUUAAGAGCGCCCCUUAAAGGAGCUCCAGAGACGGGCGCGAGCCACGGCUAUCAGCGCAGACCCCACAGACGGGCAUGGGACGCUAAGGCUGCUGCUGCAGCCAUAAAGAAGCUUCUGUGCAAGCACAGGUCACUCUCCACACCUCCCUUCCCGGGAGCCUGUGCAGCCCGCCACUGCCAGGGUCCCGUGAUCCAGGGACAACUUCCCCGGGAGAAUGCACGGCAUGCCUCAGGCUGUUGCAACAUCACACUGGCCUCUGCUGCAGCAGGCUCUCCCCGCUUUCUGUGCCCCUCCCUCCCCCCGGCCUCAGUGAGCCAGAGCCCCCGAAGUAGUUGCGCCCUUAACCCCGUCCUUUCUGAGUGCAGAACAAAUGCCUUCACGCGACCGACAUGCAGAGGUGGGUCCAAAUCCAAAGCUGAACCCCGGGAGCUGUGCGAACAAAGAAGAGAAAGGGAAAUUUCUCCCUUAAGCCAAAGAAACAGCAGAUUAAAUCUCCACAAUCAACUUGAUGUACGCUGCAUCUGUGGAAUACCUGAAUACACAACAAAUAAUCCCAAAUUGAGGAGGUGGACUUGGGGAGCAAAGAUACAUAUUUUUUCCCCUUUUUCUCUUUUUGUGAGUGUGUAUGUGGAUGCUCCUGUGUGUGAUUUUGUCUGUAUAGAUUUGCUUUUACCAUUUGUCCUAGGGUUCUCUCUGUCCUUUUUUUUGUUUUUUUUACUUCUUAAAAUUUUUUUCUUCAUAAUUAUUUUUAAUAAAUUUAUUUUAUUUCAUCUUUUUUUCUCUCUUUUCCUCUUUCCUUCUUUCUUUCUUUCUAUCUUAUUUUUUCUCCAUUUUAUGCUGAGCUGUGUGAAUGAAAGGCUCUAG
rnacentral:lncRNA from 1 species